rnacentral:rRNA from 1 species
AUUGAACGCUGGCGGCAUGCCUUACACAUGCAAGUCGAACGGCAGCACGGGUGCUUGCACCUGGUGGCGAGUGGCGAACGGGUGAGUAAUACAUCGGAACAUGUCCUGUAGUGGGGGAUAGCCCGGCGAAAGCCGGAUUAAUACCGCAUACGAUCUACGGAUGAAAGCGGGGGACCUUCUGGCCUCGCGCUAUAGGGUUGGCCGAUGGCUGAUUAGCUAGUUGGUGGGGUAAAGGCCUACCAAGGCGACGAUCAGUAGCUGGUCUGAGAGGACGACCAGCCACACUGGGAGUGAGAAACGGCCCAGACUCCUACGGGAGGCAGCAGUGGGGAAUUUUGGACAAUGGGCGAAAGCCUGAUCCAGCAAUGCCGCGUGUGUGAAGAAGGACUUCGGGUUGUAAAGCACUUUUGUCCGGAAAGAAAUCCUUGGCCCUAAUACGGUCGGGGGAUGACGGUACCGGAAGAAUAAGCACCGGCUAACUACGUG